UCGAGAAUUUUUCACAAUGGGGGAAACCCUGAUGGAGCGACGCCGCGUGGGGGAUGAAUGGCUUCGGCCCGUAAACCCCUGUCAUUUGCGAACAAAUGUGCAUACGCAAUACGUGUGUACUUGAUGGUAGCGAAAGAGGAAGGGACGGCUAACUCUGUGCCAGCAGCCGCGGUAAUACAGAGGUCCCAAGCGUUGUUCGGAUUCACUGGGCGUAAAGGGUGCGUAGGUGGCCAGGUAAGUCUGAUGUGAAAUCUCGGAGCUCAACUCCGAAACUGCAUUGGAUACUAUCUGGCUGGAGGGUCGGAGGGGGGACUGGAAUUCUCGGUGUAGCAGUGAAAUGCGUAGAUAUCGAGAGGAACACCAGUGGCGAAGGCGAGUCCCUGGACGACUCCUGACACUGAGGCACGAAAGCUAGGGGAGCAAACAG
rnacentral:rRNA from 1 species